rnacentral:rRNA from 1 species
GUCCUUUAGUUAAAAAUAAUUUAAGGUCUAACCUGCCCAUUGAUUAAAUUAAAAGGCCGCAGUAAUUUGACUGUGCAAAGGUAGCAUAAUCAUUAGUUUUUUAAUUAAAAGCUUGUAUGAAUGGUUGGACGAGAUAAAAUCUGUCUCUUUAUAAAAAAUAGAAUUUAAUUUUUAAGUUAAAAAGCUUAAAUAUUUAUAAAAGACGAGAAGACCCUAUAGAUCUUAAUAUAAUUUUUUUUAGUAUUAAUAAAGAAAAUUUUAUUUAUUAUAAAAAUUUAUAUUUUAUUGGGGUAAUAAAAAGAUUAAUAAAAUUCUUUAUAAUUAAACAAAAAUUAUUGGUUUUUUGAUCCAUUAUUAAUGAUUAUAAGAUUAAGUUACCUUAGGGAUAACAGCGUAAUUUUUUUAGAGAGUUCAUAUCAAUAAAAAAGUUUGCGA